rnacentral:rRNA from 1 species
GAUGAACGCUAGCGGCAGGCCUAAUACAUGCAAGUCGAACGGGUGGUCGCAAGACCACUAGUGGCGCACGGGUGCGUAACGCGUAACCAACCUGCCCCGAUCUGGGGGAUAGCCCGCCGAAAGGCGGAUUAAUACCGCAUAUACCCGCAGCCUGGCAUCAGGCAACGGGGAAAGAUUUAUUGGAUCGGGAUGGGGUUGCGUGACAUUAGCUAGUUGGCGGGGUAAGGGCCCGCCAAGGCGACGAUGUCUAGGGGACCUGAGAGGGUGAUCCCCCACACUGGCACUGAGAUACGGGCCAGACUCCUACGGGAGGCAGCAGUAGGGAAUAUUGGGCAAUGGGCGAGAGCCUGACCCAGCCAUGCCGCGUGCCGGAUGAAGGCCUUCUGGGUUGUAAACGGCUUUUCUCAGGGAAGAAAAAGACCUUGCGAGGUACACUGACGGUACCGGAGGAAUAAGCACCGGCUAACUCCGU